rnacentral:rRNA from 1 species
AGCGAACGCUGGCGGCAGGCCUAACACAUGCAAGUCGAACGAAGUCUUCGGACUUAGUGGCGGACGGGUGAGUAACACGUGGGAACGUGCCUUUAGGUUCGGAAUAACUCAGGGAAACUUGUGCUAAUACCGAAUGUGCCCUUCGGGGGAAAGAUUUACCGCCUUUAGAGCGGCCCGCGUCUGAUUAGCUAGUUGGUGAGGUAAAGGCUCACCAAGGCGACGAUCAGUAGCUGGUCUGAGAGGAUGAUCAGCCACAUUGGGACUGAGACACGGCCCAAACUCCUACGGGAGGCAGCAGUGGGGAAUCUUGCGCAAUGGGCGAAAGCCUGACGCAGCCAUACCGCGUGAAUGAUGAAGGUCUUAGGAUUGUAAAAUUCUUUCACCGGGGACGAUAAUGGCGGUACCCGGAGAAGAAGCCCCGGCUAACUACGUGCCAGCCGCCGCCGUAA